rnacentral:misc_RNA from 1 species
UGUUGUCCCCCAUUUACUGAAAAAACAUUUCAGGGAACCCAAUUUCCUCUAAUGAUUUAAUGAAGUAUACAAGACCAGAUUAAUCUCUCAAGAAUGAAUAGGAUAUCAAUGGCCUAGAUUAAAAAGAUCUAACAGNNNNUUUUAAGGAGACAAUCUGGCAUCCAAACUUCCUAUGUUCCCAUCUGUGUGGUUCUAUGGUGAGCAAGGGCCAGUAUACAAGUUGGUAGAAUAUGAAUCAGGGAAGAAUGAUGGAUGUGGAGAUAUUUGGCCAAGAAAGAGAUAAAAAUCAAUCAAUUAAUGAUCAAAGUGAAAAACAUUGUACCCUGUCAGGGAGAUUUCUAGGCAUUGGAAGUGCAGUAACAUAUCUCUGGAGGCAGGAUUUCAGAGGUGCGUCAGAGGAUGAUGAGGUCUCGGCCCCAUCAGCUUGGCCCCGGCCAUGGAACUUGGCAAAACGGUUGAUAACAGAAAACUUCUCUAGCUCUUGGCAUUCCACUCUCAAGUCUAGAACAGAUGCCCUCUUAUCCAAUCUCAAGAGAUCAUUUUCUAGCUUCCUUGCUCUACUGA